CUCCCUGUCUCUCGCACUCUCGCUCGCUCUCGCUCGCUCUCUCUCGCUCCCUCUCCCUUUCCCGUCUCUGUGGUUUGUAAGGUAGGUUGCAGUGUGUGUAUAUACACAACAUCAAGAGCAGGAAAAUGGACUCAUUAGGGAGGCAGGCAGUCAUUACCACUCACACUGUACUUCCAGGGAGACAGCGACUAUGAGGAGACAAACUGAGGACUGGGGAACAAGCAGCAUAAGGAAGAAGUGUUGAGAGCUGCUCUUAACCCUUUUGGAGUCCGAAGUCUAAAGGGAACUAGAGGGCUUGGCACAUCCUUUACAUCCCGCGUUUACUCUGACCACAGUCCCUCCCUGCUCUCACAAGCGGAGCUCAGCCCUGCUUCCCUUCCUGUUGAUUCCCAGUCAGCUACAUGAC
rnacentral:lncRNA from 1 species